CACGUAGGGCGCAAGCGUUGUCCGGAAUUAUUGGGCGUAAAGAGCUCGUAGGCGGUUUGUCGCGUCUGCUGUGAAAACUCGGGGCUUAACUCCGGGCCUGCAGUGGGUACGGGCAGACUAGAGUGCGGUAGGGGAGACUGGAAUUCCUGGUGUAGCGGUGAAAUGCGCAGAUAUCAGGAGGAACACCGGUGGCGAAGGCGGGUCUCUGGGCAACAACUGACGC
rnacentral:rRNA from 1 species